UUUUAGGGUUUUUCGAGGACGCGGAAUUCGAUCCCCAACUUGAUAUCUGAACUCCACUCUUGGUUCUGGAAACUGAAAGUUGGAUGCUUACUUAAUUUAUGUUUUUCUUUUGGACUGCAUUUGAACACUAUAUCUUAUCCUGUGGGCUGUAAUGUGUUAUUUGGGGAUAAUGUAUUUUCCUUUUUGGAUUGCCACUUGAAGCUGGAAAAUGUGUAAACCUUAGUUCGAUUACUUGGCUUGUAAGUUGUAUUAUGGAUUUAUGCAUUUUAUCUAUCCGGUUUGUUA